rnacentral:rRNA from 1 species
UACGAGGGGUGCAAGCGUUAAUCGGAAUUACUGGGCGUAAAGGGUGCGUAGGCGGUUCGUUAAGUCUGUCGUGAAAUCCCCGGGCUCAACCUGGGAAUGGCGAUGGAUACUGGCGAGCUAGAGUGUGUCAGAGGAUGGUGGAAUUCCCGGUGUAGCGGUGAAAUGCGUAGAGAUCGGGAGGAACAUCAGUGGCGAAGGCGGCCAUCUGGGACAACACUGACGCUGAAGCACGAAAGCGUGGGGAGCAAACAGG